rnacentral:pre_miRNA from 1 species
AGUGGAAUAGCUGGGUCAAAUGGUGGUUCCAUUCCCAGUUUUCUGAGGAAUUCCCACACUGCUUUCUAGAAUGGUUGCACCAAUUUGCAGUCUCACCAGCAAU